UCAGAAAAAGGCAAACCAGUCGCGAGACUGGGACGCAAAGCCAUGGAACUCACUCCGCUGAGUCAGCCAGGUUACCUGAG
rnacentral:ncRNA from 1 species